rnacentral:rRNA from 1 species
UGGUGCCAGCAGCCGCGGUAAUUCCAGCUCCAAUAGCGUAUAUUAAAGUUGUUGCAGUUGGUCAUGCCUUCGGUAUGUACUGGCUUUACUGAUUCCUCCUUCUUGACGAACCGUGAUGUCAUUAAUUAGGUGUUGCGGGAAAUCAGGACUGUUACUUUGAAAAAAUUAGAGUGUUUAAAGCAGGCUAACGCUUGAAUACAUUAGCAUGGAAUAAUGAAAUAGGACGUAAUCCUAUUUUGUUGGUUUCUAGGAUCGACGUAAUGAUUAAUAGGGAUAGUUGGGGGCAUUAGUAUUCAAUUGUCAGAGGUGAAAUUCUUGGAUUUAUUUAAGACUAACUACUGCGAAAGCAUUUGCCAAGGAUAUUUUCAUUAAUCAAGAACGAAAGUUAGGGAAUCGAAGACGAUCAGAUACCGUCGUAGUCUUAACCAUAAACUAUGCCGACUAGGGAUCGGUUGAUGUUAAUUUUUUUUAAUGACUCA